rnacentral:rRNA from 1 species
UAAUACGGAGGGGGCUAGCGUUGUUCGGAAUUACUGGGCGUAAAGCGCACGUAGGCGGAUCAGUUAGUCGGGGGUGAAAUCCCGGGGCUCAACCCCGGAACUGCCUUCGAUACUGCUGGUCUGGAGUCCGAGAGAGGUGAGUGGAAUUCCGAGUGUAGAGGUGAAAUUCGUAGAUAUUCGGAGGAACACCAGUGGCGAAGGCGGCUCACUGGCUCGGUACUGACGCUGAGGUGCGAAAGCGUGGGGAGCAAACAGG